rnacentral:rRNA from 1 species
UACAGAGGGGGCAAGCGUUAUUCGGAAUUAUUGGGCGUAAAGGGCGCGUAGGUGGCCUUCUAAGUUGAACGUGAAAUCCCUGGGCUCAACCCAGGAACUGCGUCCAAGACUGGGAGGCUUGAAUCCGGGAGAGGGAUGCGGAAUUCCAGGUGUAGCGGUGAAAUGCGUAGAUAUCUGGAGGAACACCGGUGGCGAAGGCGGCAUCCUGGACCGGUAUUGACGCUGAGGCGCGAAAGCCAGGGGAGCAAACAGG